rnacentral:rRNA from 1 species
AGGGUUUGAUUCUGGCUCAGGAUGAACGCUAGCGGCAGGCCUAACACAUGCAAGUCGAGGGGCAGCAUGAAAGUAGUAAUACUUUUGAUGGCGACCGGCGCACGGGUGCGUAACGCGUAUGCAACCUACCCAGAACAGGGGGAUAACACUGAGAAAUUGGUACUAAUAUCCCAUAAUAUCAUGAAGGGCAUCCUUUAUGGUUGAAAACUCCGGUGGUUCUGGAUGGGCAUGCGUUGUAUUAGCUAGUUGGUGAGGUAACGGCUCACCAAGGCAACGAUACAUAGGGGGACUGAGAGGUUAACCCCCCACAUUGGUACUGAGACACGGACCAA